CCUACGGGCGGCAGCAGUGGGGGAUAUUGCACAAUGGGCGAAACCCUGAUGCAGCGACGCCGCGUGUGGGAAGAAGGUCCUCUGGAUUGUAAACUACUGUCCCCAGGGACGAAGAUGACGGUACCUGGCGAGGAAGCUCCGGCUAACUACGCGCCAGCAGCCGCGGUAAUCCGUAGGGAGCGAGCGUAGUCCGGAUUUACUGGGGGAGAAGGGAGCGUAGGCGGGACUGCAAGUUAGGUGGCAAGUCUACCGGCUCAACCGGUAGCCGCACUCGAAACUGGAGUACUUGAGUGACGUAGAGGCUGGUGGAAUUCCGAGUGUAGGAGUGAAAUGCGUAGAUAUUAGGAGGAACACCAGUGGCGAAGGCGACCUGCUGGGCUAUAACUGACGCUGAGGCGCGAAAGUGUGGGGAGCAAACAGGAUUAGAUACCCGAGUAGUC
rnacentral:rRNA from 1 species